UACAGAGGUCUCAAGCGUUGUUCGGAUUCAUUGGGCGUAAAGGGUGCGUAGGCGGCGCGGUAAGUCGGGUGUGAAAUUUCGGAGCUUAACUCCGAAACUGCAUUUGAUACUGGCGUGCUUGAGGACUGGAGAGGAGACUGGAAUUUACGGUGUAGCGGUGAAAUGCGUAGAUAUCGUAAGGAAGACCAGUGGCGAAGGCGGGUCUCUGGACG
rnacentral:rRNA from 1 species